GGUUGAUCCUGCCAGUAAUAUAUGCUUGUCCCAAAGAUUAAGCCAUGCAUGUGUAAGUUUAAACUGAUUUUUACAGUGAGACGGCGGACGGCUCCGCAACUCAGUUAUAAUUAACUUGACAAUCUCUGCUACACGGAUAACUGUCGCAAAUCGAGAGCUAAUACGCGCAUGAAGGCCUGACGCAAGGAGGGCUGUGCUUAUUGGAUACAAAACUGACGGCAGCAAUGCCAUUGGUGAUUCACAAUAAUCUAACGGAUCGCAGGACCAUGAGUCGGCGACGAGUCAAUCAAAUU
rnacentral:rRNA from 1 species